AUUGAACGCUGGCGGCAGGCCUAACACAUGCAAGUCGAGCGAGCGGCGGACGGGUGGGUAAUGUCUGGGAAACUGCCUGAUGGAGGGGGAUAACUCCUGGAAACGGUAGCUAAUACCGCAUACCAUCAGAUGUGCCCAGAUGGGAUUAGCUUGUAGUUGGGGUGACGGCUCACCUAGGCGACGGUCCCUAGCUGGUCUGAGAGGAUGACCAGCCACACGUGAACUGAGCCACGGUCCAGCUUCCUACGGGAGGCAGCCGUGGGGAAGAUUGGACAAUGGGCGCAAGCCUGAUGCAGCCAUGCGGCGUGUGUGAAGAAGGCCUUCGGGUUGUAAAGCACUUUCAGCGGGGAGGCGUUACCCGCAGAAGAAGCACCGGCUAACUCCGUGCCAGCAGCCGCGGUAAUAC
rnacentral:rRNA from 1 species